rnacentral:tRNA from 1 species
AAGGAAGGACAGAAAUCAGUAAGUACUGCUAAUACUUACGCCCAAGGUUAAAAUCCUUGGCUUCUUUA